GAUGAAGAACGCAGCGAAAUGCGAAAAGUACUGUGAAUUGCAGAAUUCAGUGAAUCAUCGAAUCUUUGAACGCACAUUGCGCCCGCUGGUACUCCGGCGGGCACGCCUGUCCGAGCGUCAUUUCAACCCUCAAGCCCUCCUUCGGGAUGGGCCUGGUGUUGGGGCUCGGCCGCCAUCUCCGGCGGCCGUCCCCUAAAUACAGUGGCGGUCACGUCGCGACUCCUUUGCGUAGUAGAAACACCUCGCUCCGGAUAGCAACGCGGUCCACGCCGUAAAACCCCCAAUUUUCAAUGGUUGACCUCGGAUCAGGUGGGAAUACCCGCUGAACUUAAGCAUAUCAAUAAGCGGAGGA
rnacentral:misc_RNA from 1 species